rnacentral:rRNA from 1 species
AUGGCUGCUGCACCCAAUGCCUUCUCGGCUCAUUUGGAGAAGUGGAUCGUUGAGCAGAUAAAAGAUUCCAUCUUUUUUGUGAAUGUCUUUCCCAACUUGAACUACAAAGAGGAUUUGGAAAAUCUUAUGGCUGCGGUGAAAACUGUUCCAGUGAAGAAAAGAGAAGAGGUGCUGAAACAGGGACAAUGUGGCACUGGCUCUGUUGUGGGAGUUACAGAAGAUGAAAUCACCAUCCUAUCAAGUGCCCAUCUCAUUGAGCAUGUCUUCACAGUUUCAAAGCCCAUUUCCGUUCGCGACGCCAAUACGUAUUUCUAUACAGAUGUACUUUGCGAUCACUAUGAGGCUAGUUUCAGUGAACCUGGGCAAAGGAGACAUAGUGAAAGGCAGUAUGGCGCAGCUACAAUUAUUGGCAUAGAUUGUGCACAGGACCUGCUCCUCAUCUCCGUCCCACGAGUGAAUAUCAGGAACUUGGCGAGGAAGUGCACUUCCAAUCAUCCUCCUCUUACCUUCAGUUCAGUCCCUCCAGUGCAACUUGAUGAGUGUGUUAUGCUCUCGUGGCCUCCAUUGCAGCACCGGACUGUGGUUAAGGGUAGUAUCUGUCACAUGAAAAGAGCACUCUAUGAUUUAGUGAAGGAGGAGAACAACCCUGUUGGGUAUGGGAUGAAUCUCAUGCAAGUAAAGAUCGCGAGUGAGAAAGGGAGCUCUGGUAUUGGAUGGCAGGGGAAAUGUUAUUGGGAUCCUACAUGGAGGCUUGGGAGGUCCAUUCUCUUACUUUGUCUUGCUCUGUCGCAUACUACCGUUCCUGAGAAAAUAUGGCAUAGAUCCGUGUGUGGGGUAGUAAUUUGUCCAUGCUCAUUCCUGUCCAGAGGACAUGCCACUCCCACUGCUAUUGGUGUUUCUUGA